rnacentral:lncRNA from 1 species
CAAGAAUUAGCACACUUUCUAGGCAACUGACGCUUGUUUGUUUAAGAAAAAAAAAAGGGGGGGGAACAAGGGAGGAGCAAAUCUCCAAAACAACUCCUUCUCCCCCAUAUUAGACUGAUUAUUCUACAAGAUACCUUCAAAUCACAGUCACUGCUUUCAAAAUUCAAUACAUGAAGAAUUACGACACAUACAAACGUAUAAGAAUUCAAGUGGAUUAACAUUAUGUACAAAGGUGCUUUGUAAAAACAUGUUUUAUAAAGGACUGCUGUAUUACAAUGAGACAAACAGCAAUCGAUUGCACUAAGAGACGUACCACAAACACUCAUUACUUCGUGUGCUGGGACAGGCACCCUCAAACAUGAAAGUGACAUUCAGAUUCCCAUAAUGAUGAUCACAAAAAAAAAAAAACAGACUGUGGGAAGUUGGGUGGGACUCAUUACUAGCUCAUAAAAAGGCUGUUGCUUCAGGCUGUUAAUAUGCGUCCGUCUUCCUGAAUCUGAAACAAGGUUUGCUUUCCUAGCUAGCUGCAGUACGGUUGCCCACUAGCAAAUAUGAUUGGCCUCCAAAUUAGAAACACAGAUGUUUCCAGAAGAGAAAAAUUACAUAUCUGCAGAGCGGAGUUUUCCAAUCUUUUGUUCAGGCUGAAGCAGAACUCUCAUCACAAGCGAAGGACUUCAAGAAUAAUUCCAUUUUACCCUAGAAAGCUUGGAAUCUUUUGGAUUAAUUGAGAACAUCUGAAAAGGUUAGUUUACACAUCAAAAUUUCCAGCAAACCCAAUGCUUGGUGCAAGAUGGAGCACAGCCUUGCUGGGAGCAGCACCUGGGCUUCCCAUGUCCUGAGUCUGCCAAACAAUUCAACCAUUCUCCAGGACCUGCUUUAACAUUCAGGAGAGAUGGGAGUAAUUCAACAGACACGAGAGGUUUAGAAACUGGAAUGCAAAACAUCAGCUUCAAAUCCUAAUAGAUGCCUCACCUCUUUAAUAACAGCAAUUUAAAUCACAUUUGAUUUUUUUAAUGCAAGAAUUUUCUUAAUUUAGGAAUAAUACAGAAAGACCAUUUGUCUUUGAGCAACUCUUUUUU